rnacentral:rRNA from 1 species
UGGGGAAUCUUGGACAAUGGGCGCAAGCCUGAUCCAGCCAUGCCGCGUGAGUGACGAAGGUCUUCGGAUUGUAAAGCUCUUUUGGCGGGGACGAUAAUGACGGUACCCGCAGAAUAAGCCCCGGCUAACUUCGUGCCAGCAGCCGCGGUAAUACGAAGGGGGCUAGCGUUGUUCGGAAUCACUGGGCGUAAAGCGCACGUAGGCGGAUUUGUCAGUCAGGGGUGAAAUCCCGGGGCUCAACCUCGGAACUGCCUUUGAUACAGCAAAUCUCGAGCUCGGAAGAGGUGAGUGGAAUUCCUAGUGUAGAGGUGAAAUUCGUAGAUAUUAGGAAGAACACCAGUGGCGAAGGCGGCUCACUGGUCCGUAGCUGACGCUGAGGUGCGAAAGCGUGGGGAGCAAACAG